rnacentral:lncRNA from 1 species
CCAUUGUAUUUUCAGUUAUGGGGCAUCUAGCCUAAGCAGGGGUAAGUGUCGAGUUGAGCGACACACUUAUAGGACAAUAAAGUACACCACAUCAAAACUGUAAAAUAAAAUUUUUUAAAAAAUUGAAUGGCUUUUCUGCUUUCAAACCCAUUACAUGGAUGGGACAUUUCCAUCUUAUCUGUUCUAGACACCGUGUUCCUUUAAUUCUUCCGGGUUCUUUUUCUGUGUUCAGAACUACAGGCUGACUUUGCUGCCACGCACGCGCAGUGAACUCCUUGGCAUUGUUCACCCAUGAAUGCAUCUGCACCGUGUGCUGAACACUUCAAGGACUCCAGCCUGUCGCUAGCGUUCGCGUUUCAUCACGACUCAAAGGAAAAGGAGGUGGGAUUCAAACCUGGGUCCAUCAAGUGGAAGGCAGCAGCUCUAAUCACUAUGCCACCUGCUGACUCCUAAGGGUUUUACGCACGUCAAUAAAACACAUCACUUAUGGUGAUUUCAACAAGGCCACCUUUCUGUCACCUUCCCAGGUGAUUGCCCCAUGUGGAGAAUGUUGUCACUGGGCACCCCGACUGUACAGGAGCUAAGGGAGACCAACAUGCAAAACCACCACGUCUCCCAGACUCAGAGGCUGGAAACAAGAGACCCCAGAGGUGUCCAUGGGAGACUUGAGCAGUUACUCAGAGGCAUGUUCUGCAGACAGCCCGUACCCCAAGGAUGCUGAAAUGUUGUUCGUUCCAAUUUCACACCGUGCAUCCAGCUUUACAUCUCCCUGGUCACGACUGCUCGCUUCGUUCCUCGACUCCGACUCCGGAUCCUCACUCCAGCCCUGUUUGCCAAUUGGCCGACCAUUCGCCUGUCCCUGAUCGCAAGACCCAGCCUAGUCCUUCGGUUUUGAAGAAACAAUCCUGCGCUUGGGUCCAACCUUCUCCGUGUCCUCUGUUUGCCCUGACAGAUGUAUAAAUUUUGGAAACAUUACUUAUCUUAAUAGCAUUUCUUUACUCAUCUGUUUCCCGAACUUUCUGUCUGUUGCAGAGCGAAUGUGAUCUGGUUGUCCCCACCCAGCCAUUAGGUGCUAGUAAAAUGCUCCAAAACUGUAUAGGAGUGUGGAACCGCCUCAAUUCACCUCCCUUCCACAGUGUUUACAGCUUGUGUCUGGUGGUGCCAUAGGUGGG